ACGCACGCUGGCGGCGUGCUUCACACAUGCAAGUCGCACGGUGAAGCUCCAGCUUGCUGGAGUGGAUCAGUGGCGAACGGGUGAGUACACGUGAGCAACCUGCCCCUGACUCUGGAAUAAGCGCUGGAAACGGCGUCUAAUACUGGAUACGAGAAGGGUCCGCAUGGGCACUUUCUGGAAAGUUUUUCGGUUGGGGAUGGGCUCGCGGCCUAUCAGCUUGUUGGUGAGGUAAUGGCUCACCAAGGCGACGACGGGUAGCCGGCCUGAGAGGGCGACCGGCCACACUGGGACUGAGACACGGCCCAGACUCCUACGGGAGGCAGCAGUGGGGAAUAUUGCACAAUGGGCGAAAGCCUGAUGCAGCGACGCCGCGUGAGGGAUGACGGCCUUCGGGUUGUAAACCUCUUUCAGCAGGGAAGAAGCGAAAGUGACGGUACCUGCAGAAGAAGCACCGGCUAACUACGUG
rnacentral:rRNA from 1 species